GAAUGAGGUGACCUCGGAUGCAAUGGUGGCUACUUCGUCAGGUACAACAGAGACUCGGCAAACCUGGACCCCCAGGGAGCGCAGCGUCCGGCAAAGAAAGUGAUGCUGAUGCUGAUGCUGAGAGUCUCCGGGCCAGCCUCCAGCUCCCAGCCUCCCAUCUCCCCACCCCCAGCACCCCACACCCCCUCAGCCCUUAAUCCUCUCCCCUCCGCCCCACUCCCUGCCUUAUAAGUAAUCUUUUCAAUGCGUCACUGUGUUUGCUGAAUCACUCCUGUGCUCAGAAACAUGUUGGCUCCAACUGCAUAGGGAAUAAAGUUCAAGCUCUUUUGCAAUCAUUAGA